GAUGAACGCUGGCGGCGUGCUUAACACAUGCAAGUCGAACGGAAAGGCCUCUGCUUGCAGGGGUACUCGAGUGGCGAACGGGUGAGUAACACGUGGGUGAUCUGCCCUGCACUUCGGGAUAAGCCUGGGAAACUGGGUCUGAUACCGGAUAGGACAAUGGUUUGGAUGCUGUUGUGGAAAGUUUUUCGGUGUGGGAUGAGCUCGCGGCCUAUCAGCUUGUUGGUGGGGUAAUGGCCUACCAAGGCGUCGACGGGUAGCCGGCCUGAGAGGGUGUACGGCCACAUUGGGACUGAGAUACGGCCCAGACUCCUACGGGAGGCAGCAGUGGGGAAUAUUGCACAAUGGGCGCAGGCCUGAUGCAGCGACGCCGCGUGGGGGAUGACGGCCUUCGGGUUGUAAACUCCUUUCGCUAGGGACGAAGCGUUUUUGUGACGGUACCUGGAGAAGAAGCACCGGCUAACUACGUG
rnacentral:rRNA from 1 species